AUUGAACGCUGGCGGCAUGCCUUACACAUGCAAGUCGAACGGCAGCACGGGUGCUUGCACCUGGUGGCGAGUGGCGAACGGGUGAGUAAUACAUCGGAACAUGUCCUGUAGUGGGGGAUAGCCCGGCGAAAGCCGGAUUAAUACCGCAUACGAUCUACGGAUGAAAGCGGGGGACCUUCGGGCCUCGCGCUAUAGGGUUGGCCGAUGGCUGAUUAGCUAGUUGGUGGGGUAAAGGCCUACCAAGGCGACGAUCAGUAGCUGGUCUGAGAGGACGACCAGCCACACUGGGACUGAGACACGGCCCAGACUCCUACGGGAGGCAGCAGUGGGGAAUUUUGGACUAUGGGCGAAAGCCUGAUCCAGCAAUGCCGCGUGUGUGAAGAAGGCCUUCGGGUUGUAAAGCACUUUUGUCCGGAAAGAAAUCCUUGGCCCUAAUACGGUCGGGGGAUGACGGUACCGGAAGAAUAAGCACCGGCUAACUACGUG
rnacentral:rRNA from 1 species